rnacentral:rRNA from 1 species
AACGAACGCUGGCGGCAUGCCUAACACAUGCAAGUCGAACGAGACCUUCGGGUCUAGUGGCGCACGGGUGCGUAACGCGUGGGAACCUGCCCUUAGGUUCGGAAUAACUCCCCGAAAGGGGUGCUAAUACCGGAUAAUGUCUUCGGACCAAAGAUUUAUCGCCUUUGGAUGGGCCCGCGUUGGAUUAGCUAGUUGGUAGGGUAAAAGCCUACCAAGGCGAUGAUUCAUAGCUGGUCUGAGAGGAUGAUCAGCCACACUGGGACUGAGACACGGCCCAGACUCCUACGGGAGGCAGCAGUGGGGAAUAUUGGACAAUGGGCGAAAGCCUGAUCCAGCAAUGCCGCGUGAGUGAUGAAGGCCUUAGGGUUGUAAAGCUCUUUUACCCGGGAUGAUAAUGACAGUACCGGGAGAAUAAGCUCCGGCUAACUCCGUG